rnacentral:misc_RNA from 1 species
GAUGAAGAACGUAGUGAAUUGCGAUAUGUAAUGUGAAUUGCAGAAUUCAGUGAAUCAUCGAAUCUUUGAACGCACCUUGCACCCUCUGGUAUUCCGGAGGGUAUGCCUGUUUGAGUGUCAUUAACAUCUCAACGCUUGAUGGGUUCUUGUAACCCGUUCGGUGGUUGGACUUGAAGGUUGCCGGUGUCAAAGCCAGCUCCUUUUAAAUGCAUGAGCAAGGACUAUUCCGAAUCGGCUUCGGUUUGAUAAAUUUGAAUUAUCUGAUGCCGUCGCUGAGGAACUAUGGUCGACCUGCUUCUAAUUGUCUUCGGACUGUCUCCUUGUGAGGCAACUAUAUUGACUCUUGACCUCAAAUCAGGUAGGACUACCCGCUGAACUUAAGCAUAUCAAUAAGCGGAGGA